rnacentral:piRNA from 1 species
UGGAAGAGCAACCCUCUGGUGUGGGGCAGGU